rnacentral:rRNA from 1 species
AUACUCCUGACUGACCGAUAGUGAACCAGUACCGUGAGGGAAAGGCGAAAAGAACCCCGGCGAGGGGAGUGAAAAAGAACCUGAAACCGUGUACGUACAAGCAGUGGGAGCACAGAGCAAUCUGUGUGACUGCGUACCUUUUGUAUAAUGGGUCAGCGACUUAUAUUCUGUAGCAAGGUUAACCGAAUAGGGGAGCCGAAGGGAAACCGAGUCUUAACUGGGCGUUAAGUUGCAGGGUAUAGACCCGAAACCCGGUGAUCUAGCCAUGGGCAGGUUGAAGGUUGGGUAACACUAACUGGAGGACCGAACCGACUAAUGUUGAAAAAUUAGCGGAUGACUUGUGGCUGGGGGUGAAAGGCCAAUCAAACCGGGAGAUAGCUGGUUCUCCCCGAAAGCUAUUUAGGUAGCGCCUCGUGAAUUCAUCUCCGGGGGUAGAGCACUGUUUCGGCAAGGGGGUCAUCCCGACUUACCAACCCGAUGCAAACUGCGAAUACCGGAGAAUGUUAUCACGGGAGACACACGGCGGGUGCUAACGUCCGUCGUGAAGAGGGAAACAACCCAGACCGCCAGCUAAGGUCCCAAAGUCAUGGUUAAGUGGGAAACGAUGUGGGAAGGCCCAGACAGCCAGGAUGUUGGCUUAGAAGCAGCCAUCAUUUAAAGAAAGCGUAAUAGCUCACUGGUCGAGUCGGCCUGCGC